rnacentral:ncRNA from 1 species
AUUCCAGCUCCAAUAGCAUAUACUAAAGUGUUGCAGUUAAAAAGCUCGUAGUUGAAGUUAAAGUCUUAUUGGGCUAACGUUUUUUACAGCUCUGCCGGCUAAAAUAACUCCAAUAAUUCUUUUUUAAUAGCUCAGUUUCUAGGUCUUUGACUCUAGUUAUUUGUGCAUUUCACUGUGAGAAAAUUGUGGUGUUUAAAGCAGGCGUCUCGUCUGAUCUUUUGCAGCAUGGUAUGAUGGAACAUGACAUUUUACGCUAUUGGUUAGUGUCUAAAGUGUAAUGAUUAAUAGGGAUGGAUGGGGAUGUUCAUAUUGGUGGGCGAGAGGUGAAAUUCGUUGACCCUAUCAAGAUGAACUUUUGCGAAAGCAUUCAUCAAAUACUUCCCCAUUAAUCAAGAACGAAAGUAUGGGGAUAGAAGACGAUCAGAUACCGUCGUAGUCCAAACUAUAAACUAUAUCAUCCAGGGAUCGGCUAAUAUCUAUAAUAAAUUUAGCCGGCACUCAUCGUCAAUCCAAAUAAUGUAAUUCCGCCGGGAGUACCACCC